UACGGAGGUCCCGAGCGUUGUUCGGAUUCAUUGGGCGUAAAGGGUGCGUAGGCGGCGGGGCAAGUCUGAUGUGAAAUCCCGGGGCUCAACCCCGGAACUGCAUUGGAUACUGCCUUGCUAGAGUACGGGAGAGGGAACUGGAAUUUACGGUGUAGCAGUGAAAUGCGUAGAGAUCGGAAGGAAGGCCAGUGGCGAAGGCGAGUCCCUGGACAGGUACUGACGCUGAGGCACGAAGGCGAGGGGAGCAAACGGG
rnacentral:rRNA from 1 species